rnacentral:rRNA from 1 species
AUAGCGUAUAUUAAAGUUGUUGCAGUUAAAAAGCUCGUAGUUGAAUUUCUGGUCAGUCUUGCACUGCGCAUCUCGCCGGGGCAAGGUUUGAUCAUCCGUAGGGGAAGCCAGUUCGUACUUCACUGUACGGCUGGGGGAACCUACAAUUUAUUGUGAAAAAAUUAGAGUGUUCCAGGCAGGCAAUCGCUUGAAUACUCCAGCAUGGAAUAAUGGAAUAAGACUUCUGUCGAUUUGUUGGUUUGAGAUAGAAGUAAUGAUUAAUAGGGACAGUUGGGGGCAUUCGUAUUUAAUUGUCAGAGGUGAAAUUCUUGGAUUUAUUAAAGACGAACUUAUG